rnacentral:misc_RNA from 1 species
GGUUGGAUCAUUACAGAAAGGAUUUUCUUAUCCAACAAAUACACCGUGUGAACUCUUAAUGUCUUUUGGCGUGUGCGAGAGAUGACGUGGUAUAUGUCGUCCGCACGUGCCAGACUCUUAAAAAACCCCACAUUUCUAAUUUGUGUCUCUGAUUUUUUGAUUUAAUAACAAAAACAACUUUUGACAACGGAUCUCUUGGCUCUCGCAACGAUGAAGAACGCAGCGAAAUGCGAUAUGUAGUGUGAAUUGCAGAAUUCCGUGAAUCAUCGAAUCUUUGAACGCAACUUGCACUCUCCUUCGGGGGAGUAUGCCUGUUUGAGAAUCAGUUAAUUUUACUCGGUUGUCCUUUCUUUUCUCUCUUCCUCUCGAGGAGGGGGGGAAAGAAAAGACAACUGGAUUUUGGAUUUUUAUACUUUACCGUAUUGGUCCGUAAUUCAAAAGUGUGUGUAGUUUCCGAGAAAGUUGGUGGUAACGGACUCGGACGAUUGGGGGGACAGGCACCUCCAGCUGCUGCAGAAACAGUGUUUUGAAAAUCAAAAUCACCAAAGUAAUGCGAUUCAUGGCGGUUGGCGGCGUGUUUUUCUGUACCUUCUUUCUCCAGUCUCAUCAGCGAAGGAAGCGGCGUUUAUCGCACUUAUCGCGCGGCCCCUUUUCUCCUCACGGAUUUGUGAGGUGGGGGGGUGUGUCGUGCAAUUUUUUAAAGACGGUCUCAAAUCAGGCAGGAGAACCCGCUGAACUUAAGCAUAUCAGUAAGCGGAGGAAAAGAAACUAACAAGGAUUCCCCUAGUAACGGCGAGUGAAGCGGGAACAGCUCAAAUUUGAAAUCUCGCAGCUUUGCUGUGCGAAUUGUAGUUUAAAGAAACGUUUUCAGGGGCGGACUGGGUAUAAGUUCUUUGGAACGAGACAUCAUAGAGGGUGAGAAUCCCGUUCAUGAUCCAGGACCACUAGCCUCAAUUGUGAUACGUUUUCCAAGAGUCGGUUUGUUUGGGAAUGCAGACCAAAAUGGGUGGUAAAUACCAUCUAAAGCUAAAUAUUGGCGAGAGACCGAUAGCGAACAAGUACCGUGAGGGAAAGAUGAAAAGAACUUUGAAAGGAGAGUUAAACAGUACGUGAAAUUGUCAAAAGGGAAGCGCUUGAAACCAGUAUUCUAUGCAAAGUUCAACCGCUCCCAUUUGGGUGUGGCGUAGUCUUUGCAAGGGUCAGCAUCAGUUUGGUUUUCUGGGGUAAAAAGCAGCGGGAAGGUGGCCUGGCCCUUUUGGGUCAGGAGCUUAUAGACCGGCUGUCAUGCCCUGGGCUGGACUGAGGAAAGCAGCGGUAUCUUGAGCCCACGGGCUACAACCACCGCUUAGGAUGCUGACGAAAUGGUUUUAAACGACCCGUCUUGAAACACGGACCAAGGAGUCUAACAUGUGCGCGAGUAUUUGGGUGGCAAACCCUGAUGCGUAAUGAAAGUGAAAAGGUGGGAUCCUCGGUGCACCAUCGACCGGGCCGGAUUUCGAUCCAGGUCUGAGUACGAGCGCAUAUGCUGGGACCCGAAAGAUGGUGAACUAUGCCUGAAUAGGGUGAAGCCAGAGGAAACUCUGGUGGAGGCUCGUAGCGGUUCUGACGUGCAAAUCGAUCGUCGAAUUUGGGUAUAGGGGCGAAAGACUAAUCGAACCAUCUAGUAGCUGGUUCCCUC